UAGGGAAUAUUAGAAAUGGACGAAAGUCUGAUCUAGCAACACCGCGUGUGCGAAGAAGGCCUUCGGGUCGUAAAGCACUUUUUGGAAGGAAUAGGAAGGACUGUACUUCCAGAAUAAGUCUCGGCUAACUACGUGCCAGCAGCCGCGGUAACACGUAGGAGGCGAACGUUAUCCGGAUUUACUGGGCGUAAAGCGCGUGUAGGUGGUUCUGUAAGUAGGGCGUGAAAGCUCCUGGCUCAACUGGGAGAGGCAGUUCUAAACUACAGAACUAGAGGGUGGUAGAGGGAGGUGUAAUUGCAGGUGUAGCGGUGGAAUGCGCAGAUAUCUGGAGGAACACCAGUGGCGAAGGCGGCCUCCUGGACCAUUCCUGACACUCAGACGCGAAAGCUAGGGUAGCAAACG
rnacentral:rRNA from 1 species